GGCUACCUGGCGCAAUGGUAGCGCGUUUGGCUUCGAUCGCUUAACGGCUACUCAACCCAUUAGGGUUAGGGCAACCAAAAGGUUGCAGGUUCGAGUCCUGCGGUGGUCA